CCUUUUUGUAAAUCUCGCUCGCGGCACAAAAAGGGUAAAAAUUUACCCUUUUUGCGCUAAAACAGGGUAAAAAUUUACUCUGAAAGUAAAUAAUUUUAACCGAAAUCAAAAUCGGAAUCUUUGAAAUGAAACGAUCAAAAACAAUAGUUUUUAAUGUAGUAAUUUUAUUUUUUACAUACUUUUUCAAUUUAAUAAUUAAUUGAUUUUGUUUCUGCAUUAACUGUCGCUCCUCUAUGCCGAUAUUUGCUGCAACCAGAUAUAGCUGCGGACUGCAGGAACAAUAGAUAAAUCUGAAAUAUCAAAAUGUUUUGCAAUCAAUACAAAUUCAUGUCGACAAUGCUACAGAACUUACCACUUCUUUGAAUGUUGUAUACAAAAAAAAAAUACUAGAAAUUAAACCAAAACAAUUUACACCGAACAACACCAGCUUCAUGCUAUGAAAAGACUGCCAACUGUUUUUUCACCCAUAAAUGGGUUUAAAAACACCCAUUUUUAAUCUGGAGCGGCUUUAUAAUAAUGGGUGUUUAUUUACCCGUUUUGGAAUUUUGAAUUUACCCUUUUUAUGACAGAUCUCUCUGCUAUUUGAAAAUGAGUAUUUUUUUACUCAUUAAAGGGUACUCGCAAACCACCGUGUAGGUUCUGAUUUGUGCAUCAGAGAUCCGGAUCUACUUUUUUUUUUGUAUUUAAGUGGCAACUGGAUUGGUCUAUGGCCUUUUAGAAAUACCUCAUGAGGAGUGGAUGCAUAUGAGACGGUACCAAUCCUCAGAGUCUAUGAAUGAAACUCUCCAUUCAUAAACUCUGCCAAUCCUAUCUCCGGAAGCGAUUUGAUGUCUAUGAGAUACCUGAUUCAAAGAUUUCCAAAAACUGUCGACCUUAUAAAGCGACAUUUCUGUUCAAUCUUGAAAUUCACGAUUUCCUCCUCAAAAACAAGCAGGUGGAGCACAAGCUUUGCCUGGUGCUUCUUAAUGGUUUUUCAUUGAGGGUAGUUAUCAACAUUGUGCGUGAAAGCCGUAGCUCAACUAAAUCCUCUCUGAAAUGGAUGGUGUCCUGGAAAGGCAAAAACGGCCAACGAUGGAUAACGCUCCAGAUGUCGGAUGAAGAAAUGCGUUGGACAUCUUCCGGGGAUCUUUGUUUGGAGUGUCCAUUGGCAUGGUAACACUCAUUUGGAUGUGAAUACAUAGAAAUAAAUAAUUUCAUAAAUAUGAAGCUUGAAAGUUGAAAACGAAUAAUGUGCCAUUAUGAAAAAAAAAACAAUAAAAACAGGAAAAAUUUGAGCUUA